rnacentral:rRNA from 1 species
GACGAACGCUGGCGGCGUGCUUAACACAUGCAAGUCGAACGGAAAGGCCCUGCUUUUGUGGGGUGCUCGAGUGGCGAACGGGUGAGUAACACGUGAGUAACCUGCCCUUGACUUUGGGAUAACUUCAGGAAACUGGGGCUAAUACCGGAUAGGAGCUCCUGCUGCAUGGUGGGGGUUGGAAAGUUUCGGCGGUUGGGGAUGGACUCGCGGCUUAUCAGCUUGUUGGUGGGGUAGUGGCUUACCAAGGCUUUGACGGGUAGCCGGCCUGAGAGGGUGACCGGCCACAUUGGGACUGAGAUACGGCCCAGACUCCUACGGGAGGCAGCAGUGGGGAAUAUUGCACAAUGGGCGGAAGCCUGAUGCAGCAACGCCGCGUGCGGGAUGACGGCCUUCGGGUUGUAAACCGCUUUCGCCUGUGACGAAGCGUGAGUGACGGUAAUGGGUAAAGAAGCACCGGCUAACUACGUGCCAGCAGCCGCGGUGAUACGUAGGGUGCGAGCGUUGUCCGGAUUUAUUGGGCGUAAAGGGCUCGUAGGUGGUUGAUCGCGUCGGAAGUGUAAUCUUGGGGCUUAACCCUGAGCGUGCUUUCGAUACGGGUUGACUUGAGGAAGGUAGGGGAGAAUGGAAUUCCUGGUGGAGCGGUGGAAUGCGCAGAUAUCAGGAGGAACACCAGUGGCGAAGGCGGUUCUCUGGGCCUUCCUGACGCUGAGGAGCGAAAGCGUGGGGAGCGAACAGGCUUAGAUACCCUGGUAGUCCACGCUGUAAACGGUGGGUACUAGGUGUGGGGUCCAUUCCACGGGUUCCGUGCCGUAGCUAACGCUUUAAGUACCCCGCCUGGGGAGUACGGCCGCAAGGCUAAAACUCAAAGGAAUUGACGGGGCCCCGCACAAGCGGCGGAGCAUGCGGAUUAAUUCGAUGCAACGCGUAGAACCUUACCUGGGUUUGACAUGGAUCGGGAGUGCUCAGAGAUGGGUGUGCCUCUUUUGGGGUCGGUUCACAGGUGGUGCAUGGCUGUCGUCAGCUCGUGUCGUGAGAUGUUGGGUUAAGUCCCGCAACGAGCGCAACCCUUGUUCACUGUUGCCAGCACGUUAUGGUGGGGACUCAGUGGAGACCGCCGGGGUCAACUCGGAGGAAGGUGGGGAUGACGUCAAGUCAUCAUGCCCCUUAUGUCCAGGGCUUCACGCAUGCUACAAUGGCUGGUACAGAGAGUGGCGAGCCUGUGAGGGUGAGCGAAUCUCGGAAAGCCGGUCUCAGUUCGGAUUGGGGUCUGCAACUCGACCUCAUGAAGUCGGAGUCGCUAGUAAUCGCAGAUCAGCAACGCUGCGGUGAAUACGUUCCCGGG